rnacentral:lncRNA from 1 species
UGUAGACGAACUUCAAAAAUGUCUAGUGAAGGACAAACAGUGAUAAGGAGGUAUAGCUAAGAGACAAAACGACAACCGGUGCUGAAAACAAAAAAUAUCCUGCAGUCUGGGGCAGAAUCGACAAACAGUGAUAAGGAGGUAUAGCUAAUAGACAAAACGACAACCGGUGCUGAAAACAAAAAAUAUCCUGCAGUCUGGGGCAGAAUUGAAUUUCCUCAUCCUAUUAACAACAACAACAACGACAUACUCAGCGUAAUCCCACAAGUGGAGUCUGGGGAGGGUAGUAUGUACGCAGACUUUACCCCUACCUUCAAGAAGGCAGAGAGGCUGUUUCCGGAAGACCCCAUUUCCUCAUCCUAUCAAGUAAAUAAAAAUUAUCAAUAAAGAAUUU